rnacentral:rRNA from 1 species
UACGUAGGGGGCAAGCGUUGUCCGGAAUUAUUGGGCGUAAAGCGCGCGCAGGCGGCGAUGUAAGUUGGGUGUUUAAACCUAGGGCUCAACCUUGGGUCGCAUCCAAAACUGCAUCGCUUGAGUGCAGAAGAGGAAAGUGGAAUUCCACGUGUAGCGGUGAAAUGCGUAGAGAUGUGGAGGAACACCAGUGGCGAAGGCGACUUUCUGGGCUGUAACUGACGCUGAGGCGCGAAAGCGUGGGGAGCAAACAGG